AGUUAAUUAGCUUAAGAAAAGCUUAUGUUUUGAAAACAUAAAAUUAGAAGUUUAAUUCUUCUAUUAACUU
rnacentral:tRNA from 3 species